rnacentral:rRNA from 1 species
CGAACGGGUGAGUAAUGCGUGACCAACCUGCCCCAUGCUCCAGAAUAGCUCUUGGAAACGGGUGGUAAUGCUGGAUGCUCCAACUUGACGCAUGUCUUGUUGGGAAAGUGUUUAGUGGCAUGGGAUGGGGUCGCGUCCUAUCAGCUUGUAGGCGGGGUAAUGGCCCACCUAGGCUUCGACGGGUAGCCGGCCUGAGAGGGCGGACGGCCACAUUGGGACUGAGAUACGGCCCAGACUCCUACGGGAGCAGCG